UUGAACGCUGGCGGCAGGCCUAACACAUGCAAGUCGAGCGGAUGAAGGGAGCUUGCUCCUGGAUUCAGCGGCGGACGGGUGAGUAAUGCCUAGGAACCUGCCUGGUAGUGGGGGAUAACGUCCGGAAACGGGCGCUAAUACCGCAUACGUCCUGAGGGAGAAAGUGGGGGAUCUUCGGACCUCACGCUAUCAGAUGAGCCUAGGUCGGAUUAGCUAGUUGGUGGGGUAAAGGCCUACCAAGGCGACGAUCCGUAACUGGUCUGAGAGGAUGAUCAGUCACACUGGAACUGAGACACGGUCCAGACUCCUACGGGAGGCAGCAGUGGGGAAUAUUGGACAAUGGGCGAAAGCCUGAUCCAGCCAUGCCGCGUGUGUGAAGAAGGUCUUCGGAUUGUAAAGCACUUUAAGUUGGGAGGAAGGGCAGUAAGUUAAUACCUUGCUGUUUUGACGUUACCAACAGAAUAAGCACCGGCUAACUUCGUG
rnacentral:rRNA from 1 species